UGGUUGGGUAAAGCCGCUGUCAACAGCUCCAGCCAAGAAGGGGGUGUCUCUAGCCAGUGAGGAGUGGGCAGCAUUUGUAAUGUGGCCUGCAGGGGCUUCACUCCUCCCGUGGCACAGCCUGUGGCUAUGGAGUUUAGAGUCUCCUCAGUUUGCUGGCUCAAGGAAGACAACUUCCAGGAUAGGAAGAGUGGGAGAGCUUGUCAGGAGUCCUUGUAAAAGCUGUGCACUGCUCUCCAGGACUAAGGGAAAGUCCCUCAGUUCAAGUCUUCUUGUCUAUAUUCCCUCAUCCCAGCAUGUGCCUGUGGACCUUGACACUUCCUGCACACUAAAAGAGCCAUGUGUUCUGUGAUGAAGUCACAGAAUCAGCUUGGAAAAGGCCUCUGAGAUAGACAUUUCAGAGGAGUUCUUGUAUGCUCCCGAACCCUGGAGCUGUUCCUGUGCUGUGUCACGAUAGAGCUGCCACCCUGGUUAAGGGGCACUUGGGUGAAGCUUUUCUGGGGAAAGGCUCCAGUGAGCUCAUGGCAAUUGCUGCAUGCAAUCUCUUGAGAAAACUGAAGCACAGGAAAGGGAGGAGCUGUAGCUCCUGCUGGGUGGGGUGGGGCAGAAGCAAUGAUUGUUACAGAACCACUGGGCCUUUCUGAGUCUCAAGUUUCUAUGGGUUGAGUGGCCAUGGAGGACAAGGAAGUAUUUUGUGCUGUUGCCUUGCUUGCUGUGUGACACAGGGGUUGCAGCUGGAGUGGUGUAGUGAAAGCAGAAUGCUCUGUCUUUGGGUUGACUUUUUGUGGGCUUGCCCAGCACAGGCAGUUUUCUUACAGCAUCUGGUUGUUUUUCCCUUGUGUGUUGCAGGUCACAUCACCCGUGCCUGGAGAGAAUCCAGUCUUUGGAGCCCAGCACCAACCUCGGAGGAUCCUCUGGCUGCGUGUCUUCCUGCAGAAGAGGCCAAAGAAGAGGAAGAUGCUCCCCAAACUGCACCUGCUGCCACUGCAGGGCCUGAGCAUCCAGCAUCAAGCACAAGGGCAGCGUCAGCACCUGCUCUGGCAGCCUCUGUACCUGAGGAAGAGGCUGAAGAGGAGGAAGGUGCCAAUGAACCUGGCCCUGCUGUCAGCCCACAGCCAGAGCAAACAACACCA